CCUACGGGGGGCAGCAGUGAGGAAUAUUGGUCAAUGGCCGAGAGUCUGAACCAGCCAAGUAGCGUGAGGGAUGACUGCCCUAUGGGUUGUAAACUUCUUUUAUCUGGGAAUAAAAUGUUCCACGUGUGAGAUUUUGUAUGUACCCUAUGAAUAAGCAUCGGCUAACUCCGUGCCAGCAGCCGCGGUAAUACGGAGGAUCCGAGCGUUAUCCGGAUUUAUUGGGUUUAAAGGGAGCGUAGGUGGAUGGUUAAGUCAGUUGUGAAAGUUUGCGGCUCAACCGUAAAAUUGCAGUUGAAACUGGCAGCCUUGAGUACAGUAGAGGUGUGCGGAAUGCGUGGUGUAGCGGUGAAAUGCAUAGAUAUCACGAAGAACUCCGAUUGCGAAGGCAGUUCACUGGAGCGCAACUGACACUGAGGCACGAAAGUGUGGGUAUCAAACAGGAUUAGAUACCCGGGUAGUC
rnacentral:rRNA from 1 species